rnacentral:rRNA from 1 species
UUAGGCUGGUCCGUGCCUGCCGAGGGACCUCUCAAAAUCUUGAUUUUUGUGUUGUCUGAGUAAUAUACAAAUUAGUUAAAACUUUCAACAACGGAUCUCUUGGUUCUGGCAUCGAUGAAGAACGCAGCGAAAUGCGAUAAGUAGUGUGAAUUGCAGAAUUCAGUGAAUCAUCGAAUCUUUGAACGCACAUUGCACCCUCUGGUAUUCCAGGGGGUAUGCCUGUUCGAGCGUCAUUUCAACCCUCAAGCACAGCUUGGUGUUGGGUGUCACCUGGCAAUGGUGCACCUUAAAAUCAGUGGCGGUGCCAUCUGGCUUCAAGCGUAGUAAAUCUUUCGCUUUGGAGGUUUGAGCGGUUCUUGCCAAAUCAACCCCUAAUUUUUAUCAAAGGUUGACCUCGGAUCAGGUAGGGAUACCCGCUGAACUUAAGCAUAUCAAUAAGCGGAGGA